rnacentral:rRNA from 1 species
UACAGAGGGUGCAAGCGUUAAUCGGAAUUACUGGGCGUAAAGCGUGCGUAGACGGUUGCGUAAGUCAGAUGUGAAAUCCCCGGGCUCAACCUGGGAAUUGCGAUGGAGACUGCAAGGCUAGAAUCUGGCAGAGGGGGUAGAAUUCCACGUGUAGCAGUGAAAUGCGUAGAGAUGUGGAGGAACACCGAUGGCGAAGGCAGCCCCUGGGUCAAGACUGACGCUCAUGCACGAAAGCGUGGGGAUCAAACAGG